CUACGAUGAAAAUAUGGGAUCUUAAAGGGAAACGACUUCUGGCUCACGUAUGCACGCAAGAAAGAAACUUAUGUACAUAUUAAUCAGAUUAACUCCAAAGGAUUUAAAAUUAAUUGGUUUGGACAUCACCGGAGUGCACCUAAACUUUGUGCUAUGUGCAUCAACAGAGCCAGCACUGAGCUGAUAUACAGAGGCUGCUGCUGUGGAGUCAUUCAGUGCAGAGCAGUGAGGGGCUGAGGAGAUCAUUUCUCUGCACUAUAGAACAGAUACUAGCCAUCCAUCUGAGCUCAGAGACCCCAUAACAGGACAAGUCAGCGACCAACUCAACUUGACAUGAUUUGCAAAACUUGGUCAAUCCCUUGUGAGGCCAGCACAGCAUGGGAGAAAAGGCACACUUGCAAGCCGACAGUGUUUGACAGUGUAAGUGGAAACGUUACAAACGGAUGCUUUCCGUUAAGCCAGAUGUGAGGACGCACCUAUGUUUUAUUGCUGAGUAUGUUGUCUGAAUCCAUCACUGAAUGGAUUAAAGCAUGCGAUGAAGAACUACCCUGAUACGCUACAUACACUACGAAGUUAAAUCAACUAAUGUUCAGAUGAGCACUUUCUGAGAUGAAAAACACAACGUAGAAGAGGAAGACAACUGGACAUUUUUUCAAGCGACAUAUAGAAAGAAUGUCUCACUGUGAAAUGAAGAUUUAAAGCGACAGCAGAUUGUAUAACUUCAUAAGGUAAGAUGGCGCAUUCAUUCUUAAUACUUCCAUUGUUGUAAAACAUACUAAGUGUAAUAUGUUUAUUGGUGGUGAAUAUACAUUAGUCUCCUUUGUAGGUACUUUAUUUCUAUCUUUUUAUCUGAAUUCAAUAUGCUUUUUCAACAUCUAAACUGGGUGAAUGUCUCUAACGAUUCACAGAUGGGCUAUGUAAAUCAUAUAGAGCAUUUAAGAUUUUUUUUUUUAAUGGUUUUUAAAUGCUGGUGAUUAGGUUAUUUUGUAAGUCUUGAUAAGAUUAAGUUUAUAGCUUGCCUCGGGACGAAACCUUGUAAAAACUAUAUCCUAAUAUUAUCAAUUGAGUUUAAAUUUUCCCUCCUGUGUGGAGAGUUACUCAGCAAACCUCAUGUUUGAGCUAACAUUAAAAUAAAAAACAAAAAACAAACAAAAAAAAAAACUCCAGCAAUUUGGCCAUAAAUCAGCUUUACUCAAGCAUUGCUGUUGGAAUGUAGUGGAAUCCAAGUUCUCUUGAGCAGCUUGCCUGUUUAUCUCACUGGUUUAAGUGCAGUCAGCAGCAAACUAUUAUGCUGAACAAGCUGUAAAUGUAAAGAUAAACCUAGAACUCAUAAUAGACGGCAAAUCCUGACGAGGUGAUCUGACAUCUUUCAUCGCAGUUCCAUAAAGUAAAUACAUAGGUUGAAAAUACUUAGAUUGUUUGUAAACUCUGAUGGCUUUGUAAAUUGAUGGAUCUGGUGAUUUGUA